rnacentral:rRNA from 1 species
UGGGGAAUUUUGGACAAUGGGGGAAACCCUGAUCCAGCCAUCCCGCGUGUGCGAUGAAGGCCUUCGGGUUGUAAAGCACUUUUGGCAGGAAAGAAACGUCAUGGGUUAAUACCCCGUGAAACUGACGGUACCUGCAGAAUAAGCACCGGCUAACUACGUGCCAGCAGCCGCGGUAAUACGUAGGGUGCAAGCGUUAAUCGGAAUUACUGGGCGUAAAGCGUGCGCAGGCGGUUCGGAAAGAAAGAUGUGAAAUCCCAGAGCUCAACUUUGGAACUGCAUUUUUAACUACCGGGCUAGAGUGUGUCAGAGGGAGGUGGAAUUCCGCGUGUAGCAGUGAAAUGCGUAGAUAUGCGGAGGAACACCGAUGGCGAAGGCAGGCUCCUGGGAUAACACUGACGCUCAUGCACGAAAGCGUGGGGAGCAAACAGG